ensembl:ncRNA F41H8.5 ncRNA
ACCAUAUUGGAAAUUCCCCAGUAGUAUCGGAAUUGAUCACUGACAAAGCAACCACUAGUUCCGCAAUUUGGCAUUCUAAUUGGCGGGGACAGCGCAAAC